AACGCACCUUGCACCCUUUGGCAUUCCGAAGGGUAUGCUCGUUUGAGUGUCAUUGUACUCUCACACUCCCAAUGCUUUUGGAUUGGGAGUGGUGGACUUGGGUGUUGCUGCUUUACGGUGGCUCGCCUCAAAUGGAGUAGUGCAACUCUUGGUUGGACAUAGUACGGCGUGAUAAGUGUCUUCGCCGGCACCUCACUAGAGGGUGGCUGAUCAGGAGCUCUGUGCUUCAAACCGUCUUCGGACAAUCUUUGACAACUUGACCUCAAAUCGAGUAGGACUACCCGCUGAACUUAA
rnacentral:misc_RNA from 1 species